rnacentral:rRNA from 1 species
GACGGAGGAUGCAAGUGUUAUCCGGAAUCACUGGGCGUAAAGCGUCUGUAGGUGGUUUAAAAAGUCCACUGUUAAAAAUUGAAGCUUAACUUCAAAGAUGCCGUGGAAACUUUUAAACUUGAGUAUGAUAGGGGUAGAGGGAAUUUCCAGUGGAGCGGUGAAAUGCGUAGAUAUUGGAAAGACACCAAUGCGAGGACACUCUGCUGGGCCGACACUGACACUGAGAGACGAAGCUAGGGGAGCGAAUGGGAUUAGAAC